UUUGAUCAUGGCUCAGAUUGAACGCUGACGGUAAGCUUAACACAUGCAAGUCGAGCGGCGAACAGGAAGUAGGCCUUGAUUAUUGUCUAUAAUUGGGGUUUAUUUUGUCUGGCAAGCGGCGAACGGGUGAGUAAGGUCUGGGGAUCUACCCGAAGGAGGGGGAUAACUGUUGGAAACGAUAGCUAAUACCGCAUGGUAUCGAUAAGAUUAAAGUAGGGGACUAAGUAUCUGUAUAUUAAAAUAAAAUAGAUAAUUAGCCUUAUGCCAUCGGAUGAACCCAGAUAGGAUUAGCUAGUAGGUAAGGUAAAGGCUUACCUAGGCUGCGAUCCUUAGCUGGUCUGAGAGGACGAUCAGCCACACUGGAACUGAGACACGGUCCAGACUCCUACGGGAGGCAGCAGUGGGGAAUAUUGCACAAUGGGGGAAACCCUGAUGCAGCUAUACCGUGUGUGUGAAGAAGGCCUUAGGGUUGUAAAGCACUUUCAAUGGGGAAGAAUUUAAGAUCGCUAAUAUCGGUUUUAAUUGACGUUACCCAUAUAAGAAGCACCGGCUAACUCCGUGCCAGCAGCCGCGGUAAUACGGAGGGUGCGAGCGUUAAUCGGAAUAACUGGGCGUAAAGAGUACGUAGGUGGUUUAUUAAGUCAGAUGUGAAAUCCCUCAGCUUAACUUGGGAACUGCAUUUGAAACUGGUAGACUAGAGUUUCGUAGAGGGGGGUAGAAUUCCAGGUGUAGCGGUGAAAUGCGUAGAGAUCUGGAGGAAUACCAGUGGCGAAGGCGGCCCCCUGGACGAAAACUGACACUCAGGUACGAAAGCAUGGGGAGCAAACAGGAUUAGAUACCCUGGUAGUCCAUGCCGUAAACGACGUCGAUUUGAAGGUUGUGACCUUUGAGUUAUGGCUUUCGGAGCUAACGCGUUAAAUCGACCGCCUGGGGAGUACGACCGCAAGGUUAAAACUCAAAUGAAUUGACGGGGGCCCGCACAAGCGGUGGAGCAUGUGGUUUAAUUCGAUGCAACACGAAGAACCUUACCUACUCUUGACAUCCAAAGAACUGUGUAGAAAUAUGCGGGUGCCUUAGGGGGCUUUGAGACAGGUGCUGCAUGGCUGUCGUCAGCUCGUGUUGUGAAAUGUUGGGUUAAGUCCCGCAACGAGCGCAACCCUUGUCCUUUGUUGCCAGCGAGUAAAGUCGGGAACUCAAAGGAGACUGCCGGUGAUAAACCGGAGGAAGGUGAGGAUGACGUCAAGUCAUCAUGGCCCUUAUGAGUAGGGCUACA
rnacentral:rRNA from 1 species